UGUAGUUUGGUGUAAAUGCACAUAAAAUUUUGAUUUUUAAGGUUAAGUUUAAUAUCUUUUUCUGCAA
rnacentral:tRNA from 1 species